rnacentral:rRNA from 1 species
CCUACGGGGGGCAGCAGUGGGGAAUAUUGGACAAUGGGCGCAAGCCUGAUCCAGCCAUGCCGCGUGAGUGAAGAAGGCCUUAGGGUUGUAAAUCUCUUUCGGCGGGGAAGAUAAUGACGGUACCCGCAGAAGAAGCCCCGGCUAACUCCGUGCCAGCAGCCGCGGUAAUACGGAGGGGGCUAGCGUUGUUCGGAAUUACUGGGCGUAAAGGGCACGUAGGCUGGCUGUUAAGUCGGGGGUGAAAUCCUGAGGCUCAACCUCAGAAUUGCCUUCGAUACUGGCGGUCUUGAGUGCGGGAGAGGUGAGUGGAAUUCCCAGUGUAGAGGUGAAAUUCGUAGAUAUUGGGAAGAACACCAGUGGCGAAGGCGGCUCACUGGCCCGCAACUGACGCUGAGGUGCGAAAGCGUGGGGAGCAAACAGGAUUAGAUACCCCUGUAGUC